rfam:Mesocricetus auratus contig130543, whole genome shotgun sequence.
GGGGAUAUAGCUCAGUGGUAGAGCACCUGCCUAGUAACUGCAAGGCCCUGGGUUCAAAUCCCAGAACUACCC